UAUAUUAGACUUAUAUUAUAGGCCACGGAACAAGGCCAAGGUCGAAUUUUGUUUGUGCAUAUUAGAGCUUGAGUUAAGGAAAUGAUAGAGCUGCAAAUAGGCAACAUAAUAUGUUAAAGAUCAAAAAAUAAUAAAUAUAGAUACUGGUGCACUACUACGUAUAGUCUGAAGAUUGACACAACUCGGUUUCACGGGAACAGUCGACGCUUAAAUCUUGCCAUAAUAUCGGAAAAACAAAAAAACUGAAAUAAUUACGCUAUAUCCUUGUAUAAUGUCAACCCGGAGGACGAUUGGCAGUAUCAUUAAGAAGCUCAUCUGAAUAACACAAAUAAGUGUCGCAAGGCUGUGUUUGUUUAAUAAUAUAAUUUUUUAAACAGUAGUACAGUAUAUUAUGAAUAUUUACUUAAAUUAUAUUUAAUUUUUAUGGUUUUUUUUCAGAUAAUAUACUGUACUACG